UACGAAGGGGGCUAGCGUUGUUCGGAAUUACUGGGCGUAAAGCGCACGUAGGCGGAUCGGUCAGUUAGGGGUGAAAUCCCGGGGCUCAACCCCGGAACUGCCUUUAAUACUGCCGGUCUAGAGUUCGAGAGAGGUGAGUGGAAUUCCGAGUGUAGAGGUGAAAUUCGUAGAUAUUCGGAGGAACACCAGUGGCGAAGGCGGCUCACUGGCUCGAUACUGACGCUGAGGCGCGAAAGCGUGGGGAGCAAACAGG
rnacentral:misc_RNA from 1 species